rnacentral:rRNA from 1 species
UGAGUACGAGAUGCUACGGCAUCGAAGCAGUCUAUGUCAUACUUCCAAGAAAAGCUCGCACUGUCAAAAACAAAUUAAUGCCUGUACCAUAACCGACACAGGUGGGUAGGUAGAGUAUACUAAGGGGCGCGAGAUAACUCUCUCUAAGGAACUCGGCAAAAUAACUCCGUAACUUCGGGAGAAGGAGUGCCUUUUUAAGGCUGCAAUAACCAGAUCCAAGCAACUGUUUAUCAAAAACACAGGUCUCCGCUAAGUCGUAAGACGAUGUAUGGGGGCUGACGCCUGCCCAGUGCCAGAAGGUUAAAGAAGUUGGUUAGCCCUGCGAAGCUGAUAACUGAAGCCCUGGUGAACGGCGGCCGUAACUAUAACGGUCCUAAGGUAGCGAAAUUCCUUGUCGGGUAAGUUCCGACCCGCACGAAAGGCGUAAUGAUUUGGAUACUGUCUCGGAGAGGGACUCGGUGAAAUAGACUUGUCUGUGAAGAUGCGGACUACCUGCACCAGGACAGAAAGACCCUAUGAAGCUUUACUGUAACUUGAGAUUGAAAUUGGACUUUACUUGCGCAGUAUAGGUGGGAGGCAUUGAGAAUAUUCUUGCGGGAAUGUUGGAGCCAUCAGUGAGAUACCACUCCUGUAAUGUUAGAUUUCUAACUUUGGAUCAUUAUCUGGUCAAAGAACAGUCUCAGGCGGGCAGUUUGACUGGGGCGGUCGCCUCCCAAAUGGUAACGGAGGCGCACAAAGGUUUUCUCUGAACGGGUAGAAAUCGUAUCUAGAGUGUAAAGGCAUAAGGAAGCUUGACUGUGAGACUUACAAGUCGAGCAGGGACGAAAGUCGGUCUUAGUGAUCUGACGGUGCUGAGUGGAAAGGCCGUCACUCAACGGAUAAAAGUUACUCUAGGAUAACAGGCUGAUCUCCCCCAAGAGUUCACAUCGACGGGGAGGUUUGGCACCUCGAUGUCGGCUCAUCGCAUCCUGGGGCGGUAGUACGUCCCAAGGGUUGGGCUGUUCGCCCAUGAAAGCGGUACGCGAGCUGGGUUCAGAACGUCGUGAGACAGUUCGGUCCAUAUCCGGUGUAGGCGUUAGAAUAUUGAGAGGAUCCUUCUUUAGUACGAGAGGACCGAGAAGGACAUACCUCUGGUGUACCAGUUAUCGUGCCAACGGUAAACGCUGGGUAGCUAUGUAUGGAGUGGAUAACCGCUGAAAGCAUCUAAGUGGGAAGCCCACCUCAAGAUAAG